rnacentral:rRNA from 1 species
GAUUAACGCUGGCGGCAUGCCUAAUACAUGCAAGUCGAACGGAAAAUAUAUAGAUGCUUGCAUUUAGAUAUUUUUAGUGGCGAACGGGUAAGUAAUAUAUAGAUAACCUACCUUUAAGUUGGGGAUAACAGAGGGAAACUUUUGCUAAUACCGAAUAAAAUAAUUAGACGCAUGUUUAAUUAUUAAAAGGGGCUCCAAAGCCCCGCUCGAAGAGGGGUCUAUAUCGCAUUAGCUAGUUGGUAAGAUAACAGCCUACCAAGGCGAUGAUGCGUAGCUGUACUGAGAGGUAGAACAGCCACAUUGGGACUGAGAUACGGCCCAAACUCCUACGGGAGGCAGCAGUAGGGAAUUUUCGGCAAUGGGGGGAACCCUGACCGAGCAAUGCCGCGUGAUUGAAGAAGAUCUUCGGAUCGUAAAGAUCUGUUAUUAGGGAAGAAUGGAAUUGAUAGGAAAUGAUCAAUUUAUGACGGUGCCUAAUGAGGAAGCCCCGGCUAACUAUGUGCCAGC